CCUGCCCGGGAGAUCGGGAUAACAGUUCGAAAGGGCUGCUAAUACCGGAUGAUAUCUUUUCUUUUCGGAGGGAAGAUCAAAGCGUUUAGCGCUCUCGGAUGGGCCCGCGUCCCAUUAGUUAGUUGGUGGGGUAAUGGCCUACCAAGGCAGCGAUGGGUAGCCGGUCUGAGAGGAUGUUCGGCCACACUGGGACUGAGACACGGCCCAGACUCCUACGGGAGGCAGCAGUGGGGAAUUUUGCGCAAUGGGGGAAACCUUGACGCAGCGACGCCGCGUGAGUGAUGAAGGCCUUCGGGUUGUAAAGCUCUGUUGGGGGGGAAGAUAGUGACGGUACCCCCUGAGGAAACCCCGGCUAACUACGUGCCAGCAGCCGCGGUAAGACGUAGGGGGCGAGCGUUGUCCGGAAUUACUGGGCGUAAAGGGCGUGUAAGCGGCUUUUCAAGUCGGCUGUGAAAUUCCUUGGCUUAACUGAGGGUGUGCAGUCGAAACUGAUGGGCUUGAGUGCAGGAGAGGGUGGUGGAAUUCCCGGUGUAGCGGUGACAUGCGUAGAUAUCGGGAGGAACACCGGUGGCGAAGGCGGCCUCCUGGCCUGUUACUGACGCUGAGGCGCGAAAGCCGGGGGAGCAAACAGGAUUAGAUACCCUGGUAGUCCCGGCCGUAAACUCUGGGUACUA
rnacentral:rRNA from 1 species